UAUUCGUAAUUGAUUUAGAUUUUUACAGAUCAGAAAGAAUGGAUACCCCGCCUCUUCAGCAGAAUACAGGCCACACCCUAGCUCCCGGGAAUCGACCACCUCCCACCCUAGCUCCGGGAUUCCAGGCUAUUGUAGGGGCGUGUCAAAGAUUGUAUCCGGAGCAAAAAAACCCACUUCAAAUCUCAACUGUUGUAAAAUAUUGGUUAGGCGGGCCUGACCCAUUGGAUUACAUCACAGUAUACAGUAAUCAAGGAAAUUGUACGCACUGGCACUAUGUUAGUUCUGGUCUCUCAGAUCUUCAUGGCGAUGGAAGGGUGCAUCCUCCUGCAGCCGGCCCUAAUUCUCCAAGUGGAUAUGGAUUCGAACUUACGUUUAGACUCAGACGACGAGAUGAAUUGGUACCACCGGACUGGCCUUUCAAAGUUCUUCAGAAAAUUGCCAAAUAUGUGUUUGAAACGGAAAAUAAGUUAGUGUCUGGUGAUCAUAUAACCUGGAGUGAACCUCUCGGUACAAGUCAAUCCAUACUAAAGCAUCUUAUAGUGGCAGAGGAUCCCCAGCUUGAAGUAAUAAAUACAGCGCUGGGUCAACUUAGAUUUCUUCAGAUUUUUUGUGUCACAGAAGAUGAACUCAAAGCUGUACAAAGAUGGAACGGACCCGGUGUUAUUAGCUUACUUAGAAAUUCUCCGGUAGGGGGUAGUCUUUUAGUCACAGAUAUCCAGAGAUCGUUAUCACUGUUUGCGUAUUCUCCUGAGACUAAAUCGAUGGUGGAUGCAGGCAUAGCAGCUGAAGGAUCCAACUUGUGUGGUAUGGCUGCGUGUAUUUCCUGGACUGAAACUGAUGUUACAGCCUCUAGAGAACGCGAGUUGACCGGAGAUUCUGCAUUGUCAGAUUGGGCUUCUCUAGCUCAACAGUGUGACCGAUUAAUAUACAGUGGUCUUAAUUCCAGACGUGUAUCUUAUCCAAGAGGAGUAGCCUUAGCUUGUAGUCUAGAAACUGCCCGGUAUCUUCCACUUUGCAUUCAGGGUCGCCUUAAACAUGGAUUUCACUUUACUCUUAAAUCCAUCUUAAAAGAGACUGCCGUUACAUUUGUGACGGGUCGGGUUGCAGGAACCCUGGUAGGUCCCGGCAAACAUUUUGCAGCUCAGGGGGAUUGGUUGCAGGUUCUUAUACCAGAACAAUUCCUGGAUCAGUUUCAGGAAAGAAUUACUGUCGUGGACUCGGAAUUACAGUUGCCUCACACAUUCCAGUUUCCGGAAAUAAAACUUUCUAUUUCCGUUUUAUCCGACACAGCCCAGGUCGGAGUUGUAUGAUAAGUCAGACAAGAAGAAAAUUAUUCGAUGCGUAUCUUCGGAUUUACGAAGUACGCACAUCCGCUAUACUACACUUCCAACCUACUAGCUCGUGGUUUUUCAGCUGUAAGUUGAACAUGUUGCCGCAGCGCUCGGCCCAGAGAUUGUCUUUAUCCUAACCUAACCUUUCAAAUAAUACAAAAUGUAACCGUUUUCCUAGUUCCGAUAUUGCAGUAGGUCAGAAGUUCAGCAGAGGGGAUGUUGCGCAAAGACAUUACCUAGCUAACAUUCACUGCAGAACUGAACAAGACGAAGGAAACAAUGAAACGACAAUUUUUUCUCUUUAUUACAUCCAAUGGUUCAACAUAAUUUUUAACCCUUGGAUUCGGAUCCAAGAGGCAGACUUUAAUAUCUCAAUAUAUAAAAAAUUUUACACAGUUUUGGAUUUUAAGAAUCUCUCAAAAUUAGUAAAUUGUUUUGAAAACGCAAUUUUGGUGAAAACGGAUGAUGAGAAUAUUUUUACAUUUAUAUAGUUUUAUACUUCACAAUUUUAUAUUUUAACAACCAUAUACAGAACUGUAACUACUCAUUCAACGAUUUGCAAUCUCUUGUUGGCGGAUUUGUUUCUCGACUAUAAAGACGAUAUUUGACUCUCAGCCAAUAUGUAAUAUAAUAAUUCAUUCCAAACUGUCGAAUCUCAAAGUGUUUCUCAAUGUUAAUGUAAUCCAAGAUUUAUAAUAUUUGUGACUAAAUGUAAUUAUGAUGUGUAAAAAAGUGCCUAAUUAAAGUAAACUUUAAAUAAAUUGCAGCAAUUAUUUAUGGUUGAUUCACGAGAUAAUACUAGUGUAAAAUCGUAAACAAUUUCAGUAUUCAUUUUUACUACAGCAAUGGAAUAUUUUAAAGAUGGUCGUUUGUAGGAUUUCAAUAAGUCUUUUUUUUCUUGUUAUAAAUAAAUCUAAAUGUUAAUGUAAUCCAAGAUUUAUAAUAUUUGUGACUAAAUGUAACUAUGAUGUGU
rnacentral:misc_RNA from 1 species